rnacentral:lncRNA from 1 species
GGCCUUCCAUGGCUGGGUGGUCGCGUGCCGAGUUCCUUAGCGAUGCUGUGUUUGCCUUUACCUUCAGGUGGGGGGGCUUGCCACCCUGCAGGUCUAACGGUGUCCCCGCUGAUGUUUCAGGAGCUGCUGCAGAAGGAAGAAGAAGAAGCAGCGGCGUGGGGACCUGGGAGGCAGGAGCAAGCAAGAAGAGGAAGCGGAAGCGUGCAGAUGCGGGGGGGAAGGAGAGAGGCUCCCUGGGCAAAGCACCUGUCCCGUUAGCAGGGGCACAGUCACGUUUGAGUUGAGAGCUGCCGGCGCCUUUGGUGACCAGGCUGGCGUUGUGCUGGGCGACCUCCCCGUAAGCGGGGCUCGGGUCUUUGCUGUAGUUGGCCUUUUGCCUUGCUGCUCCUUUGGCUGCCUGGGGAGCGUGGCCCCCUGUAACGGAGGGCGAGAGCCACCUCUCCGCACCUGAGUGGGAAAUGGAGCUCGCCGGACCCCAAGGCCACCCUGUAAGCAGGGUAGUGCCGUUUCCCUGCCCCUCUUCCUCCCCCGGCCCCUCGGCAUCGUUGCCUGAUGGUGGCUUGUCAACGCGACGGCCCCGUACUCGGGGUGUGCGUCACGGCAUUUGGCCGUUGGCUUUACCUGAGAAGCCCCUUGGCACGUUGAGGUCUGUGGCCUCCGUGCAGCCUAGGGACAGGUCACAGGCUCUUGUCUGUUGCCCGUGGUUGUGGGUUUAUUCCCAGGUGUUGGCUGUGCUGCGUUGUCCUUCCCUUCUGGAAAGUCGUGCCUGUGUGUGCGUGUUCCCCUUCCUUUCCUUGUUUGUGUUUGUGGAGUGGUUGAGCGGCUGUGCUUUCCCUUUAGGCCUCCACAAAGAUGGCUGCAGCUUAGCUUUGACUUCUGGAAAGUCGUGCCUGUGUGUGCGUGUUCCCCUUCCUUUCCUUGUUGUGUUUGUGGAGUGGUUGAGCGGCUGUGCUUUCCCUUUAGGCCUCCACAAAGAUGGCUGCAGCUUAGCUUUGACUUCCCAGGGGGGAAUGGAGGACUUUGGUGCAUGCCGCAAAAGGGGUGUUCCCUCUUAGUCCUGCGAGCGCAGCGAGUGUCCUGUCUUCCUACUAUUUCCUUAGUGCAGAUCAGAGCCACACGGUAGUUCUGUGGCCAAGGCCUCCCUGUAGCCAGGGCUUGGGCCUGUCCUUGCGUGGCCGCCUGUCCUGCUGGCGGCGGUGACAGCCCCGUACUCGGGGUGUGUGUCCCAAGCUUCGGAGCCCUCUGUCCCUGAGCAGCCCGCCCGCCCUGUAAUCAGGUGUGGGGAGGCUGCAGCGUUGCAGCCGGCUGCUUUAGCCAUCCAGCUGGUGGGAGUGACCCCUCCCUGUCCCGUCAGAGGGUGCAGGUUGAGGUGCUGUUUGUGU